GCUGAUUAGCCAAUGCGAGGCAUAGCGAAGGUAUGGUCAAUUACCAUGUUCAUCUAUUAUUAGCUAGGAUUUGAAGGAAUAG